UGAUUUCCAUAUAUAUGGUCUACAUAGGUGAGCUGCGUAUUUAUGUAGGCGGCUAUGCAGCUAAAUUUCAGCAGCAAUACUGCGAUAGUCGAAGUAGCAAGUUGUGGCCGAUAGAUGUCUUUUACAAAUAUACAUACACACGUGUUCGUGCAACUGUAACAAACAGCGCACGACUGCACGAACUACAAAGAACCUUAAGGCAAACGGCAUGAGGCAGUAACGAACUAAUCAUCGGAGACGUCGAACGACUCCACCAACCAUUGACGCGAUCUGCUGUUUAGCUUACCACAAACUACAUGCACACGUAGCUUGUACAUAAUUUACGAUAGUUUAAUAUCAAUUGUGAAUACCACCAUUGUCCAUUUCAGUGCUUUGUGACCGCUCCGCAAAACGAGAACCAGUGAAUGCGGUGCGAAAUUAAGUACAAUGGUAUUUCGUGAGUGAACAGUGUAACGCGUAGAAUUUUCUGUUGCUGUCAUUCCGCAUUUGGAUGUUUGACAGGUGCGAGGAAUAAUGUGAAUCCCGUUGCUGUUAAGGGACCUGCUAGUAAUCGUUAAAGUUACUAGCACUUUGUUAUCCCACGUGACCAAUUACCCCUCGAACUGAAUUUGUGAAUUUUCCGACGUACCCCCUAGGACAAAAAUGUCAUCUCUAAUUCUUAGAGCGCGAAAGGGAAACGGUAGAAACCUAAGUACAAUGUCAGUUAAGGGGAGUAUCUUAGUGCUCGUGUUUUCAUGCAUGCUUUGUCCUAAUCAAGCUUCGCUGCAACCAAAGCCAGUGAGUGAAUCUGGGGUUCAGCGCAGUUUAGCUAAACCAAAUAUAGAAAUCAUGCAUUUUGUUCUAGAUGGGAUUAGAGAUUCAACAGGCAAGAGCAGCAAGAGUCGCGACGUUUCGACAGUUGAGGAGGGAGGAGUCAGAGGACGUUCUCGAGGUACUACCCGAGACAGCGUACUCCUGUUUCAAGACGGCCCGAAUCCACUGAGCACAAAUAAUCAGAAUGAUUUAGCCUCUCUUGCUGGUUGUAGGACGGGUUUAAUUCCUUCUAACUCGGCAUUUCCACGAGGCGGCGGCUAUCGUAGAGGCGGUUACCGUGGACAGAAGGUUCUUCUUAUCACGUCAGGAGAGCCUCUUCCUCGGUAUUGAUUUGUUUCGCAUAAAUUUCCAGGCUAUCGUGGGGUUCCAGCACCCGUGCCAUUUUCAAAGAAUCAAAUACCACCAAAUGUAUCGCAUCAUCCGCACGGUGAAAAUUCACAGGUGAAAGAUAUUCCUUUUGAUCAGCUAGUUGCGUUUCCAGGCUUGCAGCACCUACCAAGACCUGAUAGAAAGUUCCAGUUUAGCGGACUUUGGAAACCGGAAGUUGUCGUAGAUUUGCCUCAAGUUAUCCGUGAGGAUAGGGCAUCGGGAGAUGGGAACAAAAAUUUCUUGGGGAAACCACUCAUUCCUGCAGAAGGACCAGUGCAUAGUUCAAAUAGUAAUCACAAUAGGCCACCUCGUCCGCCUUUAGUAACUGGUACAACGGACAGACCUACGAAAAAGGAUUACAUCUCUCAGCUUGAAGCAGAACUUCUAUCUGGCUUGUCUCCACAGCAACUUGAGGAAUUAUCGCACCAAGCGAUCAAUCCUCGCCAUACAGGAAAACGUGAUCUUAAAAUUAAGCAGAUUUUCCCAGGCCUAAUUGUAUAACGAAUUCAUUUUUGAUAAUUUGUCACCAAUAAAAAUAAG